rnacentral:rRNA from 1 species
UGGGGAAUUUUCCGCAAUGGGCGAAAGCCUGACGGAGCAAUACCGCGUGAGGGAGGAAGGCUCUUGGGUUGUAAACCUCUUUUCUCAGGGAAUAAAAAAAUGAAGGUACCUGAGGAAUAAGCAUCGGCUAACUCCGUGCCAGCAGCCGCGGUAAUACGGAGGAUGCAAGCGUUAUCCGGAAUGAUUGGGCGUAAAGCGUCCGCAGGUGGUUAUGUAAGUCUGUUGUUAAAGCGUGCGGCUCAACCGCAUAAGGGCAAUGGAAACUACAUGACUAGAGUGCGUUAGGGGUAGAGGGAAUUCCUGGUGUAGCGGUGAAAUGCGUAGAUAUCAGGAAGAACACCGGUGGCGAAGGCGCUCUACUAUGCCGCAACUGACACUGAGGGACGAAAGCUAGGGGAGC